CUUCUAUUACAGGUACAGAAGCUGGAGGAGAGGGAGCGCGUGCUGCACGGCUCUCUGGCCGCCAUAGAGAAGGAGCUGACACUCCGCAUGCAGUCCCUGGAGAUCCAGAAGAGGAAGGCGGUUGAAGCGGCACAACUCUCCGAGGAUCUGAAGGUUCAGGUGGAACACAUUGUGAGCACAUUGCGGGACACCCAGAGUCUGGUCUGUGACAACCGCAGC